rnacentral:rRNA from 1 species
AGGGAAUAUUGGACAAUGGGCGCAAGCCUGAUCCAGCCAUGCCGCGUGAGUGAAGAAGGCCCUCGGGUUGUAAAGCUCUUUUGUCCGGAAAGAAAAGCGCCGGGUUAAUACCCUGGUGUCCUGACGGUACCGGAAGAAUAAGCACCGGCUAACUUCGUGCCAGCAGCCGCGGUAAUACGAAGGGUGCAAGCGUUACUCGGAAUUACUGGGCGUAAAGCGUGCGUAGGUGGUUCGUUAAGUCCGAUGUGAAAGCCCUGGGCUCAACCUGGGAAUGGCAUUGGAUACUGGCGGGCUAGAGUGCGGUAGAGGGUAGUGGAAUUCCCGGUGUAGCAGUGAAAUGCGUAGAGAUCGGGAGGAACAUCCGUGGCGAAGGCGACUACCUGGACCGAUACUGACACUGAGGCGCGAAAGCGUGGGUAGCGAAC